GGCCCGGCCCGGGCAGGGUUUGGCUGGGCCGGCCCCGCUCUGCCCGGGGCAGGGUUUGGCAGGGCCCGGCCCCGAUCUGCCCGGGGCAGGGUUU